rnacentral:rRNA from 1 species
GGGCCCGCACAAGCGGUGGAGCAUGUGGUUUAAUUCGAUGCAACGCGAAGAACCUUACCGGGGUUUGACAUCAUAGUGAAGUUUGCAGAGAUGUAAACGUUCUUCGGAACGCUAUGACAGGUGCUGCAUGGCUGUCGUCAGCUCGUGUCGUGAGAUGUUGGGUUAAGUCCCGCAACGAGCGCAACCCUUGCCCCUAGUUGCCAGCGAUUAACGUCGGGGACUCUAGGGGGACAGUCGGCGAUAAGCCGGAGGAAGGUGGGGAUGACGUCAAGUCCUCAUGGCCCUUACAUCCCGGGCUACACACGUGCUACAAUGGCCGGUACAACGAGUUGCGAUACCGUGAGGUGGAGCAAAUCCCAUAAACCGUGGCUCAGUUCAGAUCGUAGGCUGCAACUCGCCUACGUGAAGGCGGAAUCGCUAGUAA